rnacentral:rRNA from 1 species
AUUGAACGCUGGCGGCAGGCCUAACACAUGCAAGUCGAGCGGAUGACGGGAGCUUGCUCCUUGAUUCAGCGGCGGACGGGUGAGUAAUGCCUAGGAAUCUGCCUGAUAGUGGGGGACAACGUUUCGAAAGGAACGCUAAUACCGCAUACGUCCUACGGGAGAAAGCAGGGGACCUUCGGGCCUUGCGCUAUCAGAUGAGCCUAGGUCGGAUUAGCUAGUUGGUGGGGUAAUGGCUCACCAAGGCGACGAUCCGUAACUGGUCUGAGAGGAUGAUCAGUCACACUGGAACUGAGACACGGUCCAGACUCCUACGGGAGGCAGCAGUGGGGAAUAUUGGACAAUGGGCGAAAGCCUGAUCCAGCCAUGCCGCGUGUGUGAAGAAGGUCUUCGGAUUGUAAAGCACUUUAAGUUGGGAGGAAGGGCAGUAAGUUAAUACCUUGCUGUUUUGACGUUACCGACAGAAUAAGCACCGGCUAACUCUGUGCCAGCAGCCGCGGUAA